rnacentral:lncRNA from 1 species
ACCAUGAAAAUUUGAUAGAAUAUAUUUGUUGGAUCUUUGUGAUCAUAGCUCAUUUAGCAAAUGUUUCACAAAACAAUGCAUAAUUUAAAAUGCUUGCGCAGCAAAUAAAACCCAAAUUUAUUGCAAGACUUGAUCGAGUUGCAAGUUGGCUCGCAGAGAGAAUUGAUAAUUAGCAUGUAAUUUGCGACUGAAUAAGAUAUGUUCCGAAUUGAACAAGUUUACUUGACCAUCGGAGCUUCAUGUGAUCACAAAUUUCUUCAGACAUGC